UACGUAGGUGGCAAGCGUUGUCCGGAUUUACUGGGCGUAAAGAGCGCGCAGGCGGUUGUUUAAGUCGAAUGUGAAAGCCCCCCGGCUCAACUGGGGAGGGUCAUUCGAUACUGAUCGACUUGAAGGCAGGAGAGGGAAGUGGAAUUCCGGGUGUAGUGGUGAAAUGCGUAGAUAUCGAUAAGGAACGCCAGUGGCGAAAGCGAGUGCUCUGGGCAGCAUCUGACACUGAGGCAGCGAAGGACCAGGGGAGCAAAGCGGGAUUCAGAGUACCCGGGUA
rnacentral:rRNA from 1 species